rnacentral:rRNA from 1 species
AUUGAACGCUGGCGGCAGGCCUAACACAUGCAAGUCGAACGAGUGGCGGACGGGUGAGUAAUGUCUGGGAAACUGCCUGAUGGAGGGGGAUAACUACUGGCAACGGUAGCCAAUACCGCAUACUAUCAGAUGUGCCCAGAUGGGAUUAGCUUGUUGGUGGGGUAAAGGCUCACCACGGCGACGAUCCCUAGCCGGUUUGAGAGGAUGACCAGCCACACUGGAACUGAGACACGGUCCAGACUCCUACGGGAGGCGGCAGUGGGGAAUAUUGCACAAGGGGCGCAAGCCUGAUGCAGCCAGGCCGCGGGGAUGAAGAAGGCCUUCGGGUGGUAAAGUACGUUCAGAGGGGAGGCGUUACCCGCAGAAGAAGCACCGGCUAACUCCGUGCCAGCAGCCGCGGUAAUAC